AUGCACCUGUCUCCUGACUUCUCACCAGUUCUCCCGUUGCUUCCGAACUUCCAGCUCAUGAAAAAUGUUCUUGCAGGAUCAUCACUAGAAAUGCUCUUCCAGGAUCACCUCCUCCAGCACCCAACCUCCUCCAGUCUCUCUAGCUUUCAAGAUGCCGUCUGACCUCCACCGUCCUCCUCCCCCCCCCAGAAGGGAAUGAGGAUAGAGAUGCAAUUGUGUUUCUGGAAAAGGCUGCACAUAAUAGGAAAUCCUGAGUGUGAAGACUGUUUCCUGCCAGUUGAAGCAUUGUGGUCUUUGGCUGUUCUGACAAUAGCAGAAGUCUUCAAGGCAUAAAUAAGCAUGCUUAAAACAAAUGGGAGACCCAGAACCAGCAGUGAGCAAAAUGAUGGAAAACAUCCCAAAGAUGCUCUGGGGGUCCCGGAAACCUCAGUGGCCGGCUGGGAGUUUUGCUUGGUCACGAGGCGCUGGCCCUCCUGCACCUGCGCUCGUUCCCACCCUCUCUUUUUAUUUCAUUGCUUCUCUUCUGGAUUGGCCUUGCCGCGGAGCCCACCACCUCUGGCCUGAAAGUAGUGGAAAUUACCAGCAGAUCAUGUUGACGUUUUGCAGUGAUUCUUGGUAACUGAAGCUGUUGUCAU